rnacentral:rRNA from 1 species
AGAGUUUGAUUCUUGCUCAGGAUGAACGCUAGCGCAGGCUAAUACAUGCAAGUCGUGGGGCAGCAUGAGUAGUAGCAAUACUACUUGAUGGCGACCGGCAAACGGGUGCGGAACACGUACGCAAUCUACCCAGAACUGGUGAAUAGCCCUCCGAAAGGAGGAUUAAUACACCGUAACAUAAUAGAGUGGCAUCACUUUGUUAUUAAAGCUCCGGCGGUUUUGGAUGAGCGUGCGCCCCAUUAGGUAGUUGGUUGAGGUAAUGGCUCACCAAGCCUGCGAUGGGUAACUGGUGUGAGAGCACGACCAGUCACACGGGCACUGAGACACGGGCCCGACUCCUACGGGAGGCAGCAGUAAGGAAUAUUGGUCAAUGGACGCAAGUCUGAACCAGCCAUGCCGCGUGGAGGAUGAAGGCCCUCUGGGUUGUAAACUUCUUUUAUGGGGGACGAAAUCACUUAUUCUUAAGUGUCUGACGGUACCCCAGGAAUAAGCACCGGCUAACUCCGUGCCAGCAGCCGCGGUAAUACGGAGGGUGCAAGCGUUAUCCGGAUUCACUGGGUUUGAAGGGUGCGUAGGAGGGCGGAUAAGUCAGUGGUGAAAUCUUCGAGCUUAACUCGGAAACUGCCGUUGAUACUAUUUGUCUUGAAUAUCGUGGAGGUGAGCGGAAUAUGUCAUGUAGCGGUGAAAUGCUUAGAUAUGACAUAGAACACCAAUUGCGAAGGCAGCUCGCUACACGAAUAUUGACUCUGAGGCACGAAAGCGUGGGGAUCAAACAGGAUUAGAUACCCUGGUAGUCCACGCCCUAAACUAUGGAUACUCGACAUACGCGAUACACUGUGUGUGUCUGAGCGAAAGCAUUAAGUAUCCCACCUGGGAAGUACGACCGCAAGGUUGAAACUCAAAGGAAUUGACGG